rfam:Aedes albopictus isolate Foshan contig161867, whole genome shotgun sequence.
UGUUCUGUGGCUCAGUUGGUUAAAGCGCUGGUCCAGCGAAUACAGAGUCGUGGGUUCGAAUCCCACCAAAACGC